rfam:Oryza rufipogon genomic scaffold, chr02
UACUCCCUCAGCCAUGAGUUUAUGUAUCCAACCUUAAUCAUUUGUCUUAUUUAUUUUUUUAAAAAAAAACUGAAAAACUUAAGUCACGCUUAAAGUACCAUUCAUGUUUUAUAAUCUAAUAACAAUAAAAAUAUUAAUCAUAAAAAAAAUUUAAAUAAAACGGACGAUCAAAGUUGUACACGGAAACUCAUGGCUGCGUUUAUU